UAUUUUUUUUUUUCUUUUUCUGUCCGACUCACGCCUGUCGGUAUGACGGAAAGAAGUCCGCGAUAAAACAGAUUAGCGCUCUAAACAUUUUGGACGGAACAGCGUGUGAGCCACUGCCAAUUUUCUUCCCUGCAAUUCUCGCAGGCCUUUCGUAAUGUCGGCGUACACGUCUUGCGGGAUGUUCUUCGUGUGAGAACGACAAUCGCGUGACUUUUAUUUCACGGUGCGAGAGGCGCCUUUUGGGAUGGAUAGCGAGAAGAGUUUGAGAGCGUGUUGAAAAAUAGAGGAGUAAAAAACCAAAACAACGCUCCGGUCAACGCGACGUGAGCUGUUUUUGUGUUGAUUUUUAUCCAUGCGUUCAUUUUCGCAUCACGACUCUUGUUUCCAGAAAGUUCACGGAUGAGCUGGAGCCGAGCGAGAGGCGCCAAACGCACGUAUCGCCUGUCGACCGCGCGGCCGGAGGAAACCGGAGCGCCUGCAGAAAGCAAGGGGUGUUUUAUGACGAAACUGCCUGCUCGGUGGCGGCUCGCCCACGAGAAAAUGAGGACAUCGUGUCCUGAACCCGCGAUGGGCCUCACGCGAGGCACAGGCCUCGGAUGAGUUGCAGAUUCAGUGUUUCCCGCUUUCAACGACAAAGCAGCGACAACUGAAAUCGAGCAUUUCUGUGCGGACAAGCUACGCACACCGCUAACCGGAAGAGACGCACCGACGAGUCGGAGGGGGUUCGGCGCGCAAACACAUCUAGAGAUCGCACUUCAUGAUCUCUCGGAGGCAGAUGGUGGCGUAGCAUGAGGAGUCCAGGUCAAAGUUCAAG